UAGGGAAUCUUCCGCAAUGGGCGAAAGCCUGACGGAGCAACGCCGCGUGAGUGAUGAAGGCCUUCGGAUCGUAAAACUCUGUUAUUAGGGACGAACAAACGUGUAAGUAACUAUGCACGUCUUGACGGUACCUAAUCAGAAAGCCACGGCCAACUACGUGCCAGCAGCCGCGGUAAUACGUAGGUGGCAAGCGUUAUCCGGAAUUAUUGGGCGUAAAGCGCGCGUAGGCGGUUUUUUAAGUCUGCUGUGAAAGCCCACGGCUCAACCGGGGAGGGUCGCUGGAAACUGGAAGACUUGAGUGCAGGAGAGGAAAGCGGAAUUCCAUGUGUAGCGGUGAAAUGCGCAGAGAUAUGGAGGAACACCAGUGGCGAAGGCGACUUUCUGGUCUGUUACUGACGCUGAUAUGCGAAAGCGUGGGGAUCAAACAGG
rnacentral:rRNA from 1 species